UCAACCUACUAUGUAUUACAUUUGUGCUGACUAUACAAAUUGUCAAUGAACGGGUGUACUGUUAUUGUCACAUAAAGUUACAAUUUAGCAGAAAAUUUCGUACAUGGGUAACACAUCAGUGAUGAAUUUGAAAAAAAUAUUCUAUAUUGUGACUGUGUACUUUGGUAGGUCUUGCAGUGAAAUCAACAUCUCGUAUACGGUUUAUUAUUUAUUAUCGGUCGCUGUAGAAACAACAUCAAGCGAUUGAUGAAAAGGAAGAUUAUCAUUUGAUUCCCGGAUUCAAUUCGCUCGAAUCCGACGGAAAAUCGCAGGAAAAACUCCACCGGACAGAGCCUUGGAUCAACUGAUGCUAUCAAGCAAUGCUAAGCAAUAUUUCACCA